UACGGGGGGAGCAAGCGUUGUUCGGAUUUACUGGGCGUAAAGGGCGCGUAGGCGGCGCGACAAGUCACUUGUGAAAUCUCCGGGCUUAACUCGGAACGGUCAAGUGAAACUGUCAUGCUAGAGUGCAGAAGGGGCAAUCGGAAUUCUUGGUGUAGCGGUGAAAUGCGUAGAUAUCAAGAGGAACACCUGAGGUGAAGACGGGUUGCUGGGCUGACACUGACGCUGAGGCGCGAAAGCCAGGGGAGCAAACGGG
rnacentral:rRNA from 1 species